ensembl:lncRNA
GGGUCAUAUUUUUGUAACGGUCCCAUGCAGCAUGCAGCCAUUCCUCUGGGUUACCUUGCUGUCUGAAGUGCUCGUCCAGACCAUGUGCUUGUUUGUCAUAAUCACUCUGUACUACGGAUCCUGUGUAUGGGACUGUACAGGCUUGCGAAAGUAUUCACCCCCCUUGGCAUUUUUCCUAUUUUGUUGCCUUACAACCUGGAAUUAAAAUAUAUAUUUUUUUUUGGGGGUGUGUAUCAUUUGAUUUACACAACAUGCCUACCAUUUUGAAGAUGCAAAAUAUUUGUUAUUGUGAAACAAAGCAGAAAUAAGACACACAAACUAUUUAGCGUGCAUAACAAGACACACCCCCCAAAGUCAAUACUUUGUAGAGCUACCUUUUGCAGCAAUUACAGCUGCAAGUCUCUUGGGGUGUCUCUUAGCUUGGCACAUCUAGCUACUGGGAUUUUUGCCCAUUCUGCAAGGCAUAACCUUUUUUAUUUCACUUCAACAAUUUUGACUUUUUGUAUAUGUCCAUUAUGUAAUUUUAAAAAAUCCACUUAAAUUACAGGUUGUAAUGCAACAAAAUGGGAAAAAUGCCAAGGGGGAUGAACACUUUUACAAGGCACUGUAUUGGCUGAUAGGGGGGCUCAUAAGGGUGUAAGCUAUCUCUGUGUAACAGGGAAUUCCUGUUCCGCCGGCUCCCUAUAGGUCGGUGCUAAAGCCAACUCCCUCUAUCAAAAUGUCUUGCCCUAGAGAUCUAGCAUUUACAGAAUUACUCAUUGGCCCAAGGGAGGCACUACAGUAAUCAACUAUAUGUACAUUAGUCACAUGCGAUAUCUCAGACAACUGCACUGCAUCAUUUGUGGAGGAUGACAUGUUCAUUGUUGCCUUGUUUAACACCUGAUUUACUUAACAAAAAGCACAUCUCAAUAGGUGGUUCAGGUAAAUCAUGAUAUCGCUAAAGGGGGACUUUCCUAUUUUUCUCUAUUGCGCCUCUACUUUUCCUCAAGCAAGGGAGAGGCUGACUUUGUUUUUACCCUUUAGUGUGUGUACUUUGGGAUAUCGCUUUAAACAGUAAAAAAAAUGUUUUUGCCAAAGGACAUCUUUCAUACUCAAUGUUCCAGGUACAACAGUGUUUGUCAGUCUCUGAUUCAUCUACAACAAAUAAUGGUUUUAACUGAAAAGCACUAAUGUCCAAGUGAAAUAAAUACUUACCCAGCGAACAGGAGGGAGCAAUGUUCUCUGCAUGUAUUUGUAAGGACAACAUACUUGAAUCAUUUAAGACUUGAG